rnacentral:rRNA from 1 species
CGCGUAGGCGGUCUCUUAAGUCAGGUGUGAAAGCCCGAGGCUCAACCUCGGAAGUGCACUUGAAACUAAGGGACUUGAGUAUGGGAGAGGGAAGUGGAAUUCCUGGUGUAGCGGUGAAAUGCGUAGAUAUCAGGAGAACACGGUGGCGAAGGCGACUUCCUGGACCAAUACUGACGCUGAGGCGCGAAGGCGUGGGAGCAAACA